GUCUACGGCCAUGCCACCUUGAACAUCCCCGAACCUGUCUGACCUCGGAAGCUAAGCAGGGUCGGGUCUGGUUCGUACUUGGAUGGGAGACCACCUAGGAAGACCAAGUGCUGUACAUA
ensembl:rRNA 5S_rRNA 5S ribosomal RNA